AUGGAAGGCCAACCUUUGAGCUCUCCCGAGCAGAGCUUGGAUGACUCAGAGAUGGAGAGGGAGGAGGAGGAGAGCGACCCCAUGGCGAUGGCGGAGAUCGCCAUGGGAGAGGAAGAGCAGCAGGCUGCCACAAUUGGAGCCAUCGCUGUCGAGUUCACUCGGUUGCAGGCGUAUGCGCACUACAAACAGAUGAUGUCAGAGGUAGAGGAGGAGCAGCACCCCGCUACUGGUGUCGCGUUCCAUCAGUUGCAGGAGGAGCAACGAUACAACACGGCGCUCCUCGAGGAGCAUUGGUUAGCAGGGGAUUAUCUGGAGGCAAAGCACACUUUCGAUGUUAUUGUUGCGACCAUGGUUGUAGCGGACCCGGGUAUCGUCGAAGAGCAUCGGUGGUGCUCGAGUCUGUGCAAAACACUCGCGCCAUCCGCCGCAAGCGCUGACAGCAGCGUGUCAUUUAGGCGGAGCACAAACCAUCUCUUCGAGGCAUUGGAGACACAAACUGAAAACAUGCUGAACCAGCAUGACGAUGAUGCCAACAUCCAUAGCUGCACCUCGUUCGAACCGGCCCGCGACGACGAUGAGACUGGAUAG
rnacentral:rRNA from 1 species